rnacentral:misc_RNA from 1 species
GGGGAACCGGAUAAUUACCUCUGUACGGCCGGGCAUUAUGGCCCUCCCAGCUAAUAACUCAGCUAAAAUACAACCUGCACUCCAAAGGUCGAUGCCUACACCAUAGUGAGUUGCACCAAGUAGAAGCUCGGGGGAUCGAUACCAUAAGGUUACAACACGAUUAGUCAAUGGGUGCUUGUGUUUUGGAUCAAAGAAAGUAGCUAGUCCAAAGUCAGCAAUCUUAAGCAACCCUUCACCAUCAAUAAGAAGAUUUGAACCCUUAAUAUCGCGAUGAAGCACCCUGUGGCUGUGACAAUGCUCAAGUCCUGAUAGAAGUUGUUGCAUGAAACACUUAACCUGAGCCUCUGUAAAUUUGAUAGAUGGAUUUGCAGCAAGACCAGCUAAAUCAUGCUCCAUGUAC